AAAGAGUCUGUAAGUCUACCACUUAUGAAGGAGGCUGAAGGUCAAAGGAGAAGACAUUGCACCCUUCCUCACUUACAGCAAUUGCUCUAGACACAACCACUGGUCAGAAAGCAAGUUUUAUGAGCUACCUGAAUACUUGGAUCCCAGUAACUUGAGCUGCUUGUUUACAGAAAUUCACACAUAUUUUUCCCUCUGGGGAGAGGAAGAGAGGAGGAAAAGGCUGCAUGUGACAGAUGCUAAUUAUGCAGCUUAAUGCACUUCUGGAAGUUGCAGUGAUGAGAACUGUAUAAGAACGUAUGUAGAAAAUGGCAUAUUUUCAAUGCCAUAAUGCCAUUUUUUUCACUUUU